AUUGAACGCUGGCGGCAGGCCUAACGCAUGCAAGUCGAACGGUAGCACAGAGAGCUUGCUCUCGGGUGACGAGUGGCGGACGGGUGAGUAAUGUCUGGGAAACUGCCUGAUGGAGGGGGAUAACUACUGGAAACGGUAGCUAAUACCGCAUAACGUACGCAAGACCAAAGAGGGGGGACCUUCGGGCCUCUUUAGCCAUCAGAUGUGCCCAGAUGGGAUUAG
rnacentral:rRNA from 1 species